rnacentral:misc_RNA from 1 species
GGUUGGAUCAUUACCAAUACCGGUCUGGCUUGUCCCGCAAGGUCGACUUGCCAGACUACGUACCCCUUGUGCACUGUAUAUUGUUUUUUGGGCGUGUUUAACGCGCCCAGCAGUACAAACCAUUUUAAUUUGUCUGAAACUAAGAGAAAAAUCAAAAACAACUUUUGACAACGGAUCUCUUGGCUCUCGCAACGAUGAAGAACGCAGCGAAAUGCGAUACGUGAUGUGAAUUGCAGAAUCUCGUGAAUCAUCUAAUCUUUGAACGCACAUUGCACUCUAGCUUGCUAGAGUAUGCCUGUUUGAGAAUCUAAUGUAUCUCUUUCUGGUUUGUUCCGGAAGAUGUGGGGCCUCUCUUUGCAGAAAGAGUGCUCUGAAUUGGAUUACCCGGCAGCAAAUGUCGUGAUGACGGCCUGCGUGGCCGCCGAAAGGUAUAUGCAUGGAACUGUGGUUUCUGAUUGUGCCUACUAGGCGGUAGCAGCGCCCAGCGUCGCUAGCUGUUGGUCCACCGACAAUCGCCUCGGCGAUGAACCAUGGUCUCAAAUCAGGUAGGACUACCCGCUGAACUUAAGCAUAUCAAUAAGCGGAGGAAAAGAAACUAACAAGGAUUCCCCCAGUAACGGCGAGUGAAGCGGGAAUAGCUCAAAUUUGAAAUCUCCUCGGAGAAUUGUAGUUUAGAGAAGCGUUUUCGGGGUGGCCCUGUGGUACAAGUCCUUUGGAACAAGGCAUCAUAGAGGGUGAAAAUCCCGUCUUUGACCAUGGGUGUCAUUCCAUAUGAUACGUUUUCCAAGAGUCGGUUUGUUUGGGAAUGCAGACCAAAAUGGGUGGUAAAUACCAUCUAAAGCUAAAUAUUGGCGAGAGACCGAUAGCGAACAAGUACCGUGAGGGAAAGAUGAAAAGAACUUUGAAAAGAGAGUUAAACAGUACGUGAAAUUGUCAAAAGGGAAACGUUUGGAACCAGUAUUGUAUGCGCGGAUUUAGCUGUGAUUUAUUGCAGUGUCCUUUCGCGCAGCAGGUCAACAUCAGUUUGGGCCACGGUAAAAGCCAGCAGAAGGUGACCCUGCGGGGUGUUAUAGCUGCUGGUUCUGCCGAGGCCUGGACUGAGGACUGCGGCUUGCCAAGGAUGUUGACGAAAUGGUUCCAAGCGACCCGUCUUGAAACACGGACCAAGGAGUCUAACAUAUAUGCGAGUAUUUGGGUGGCAAACCCUUGUGCGUAAUGAAAGUGAAAAGGUGGGAUCUUCGGAGCACCAUCGACCGCGCUCGAUUAUUGCUAUCGUAGCGUGAGUAUGAGCAUAUAUGCUAGGACCCGAAAGAUGGUGAACUAUACCUGAAUAGGGUGAAGCCAGAGGAAACUCUGGUGGAGGCUCGCAGCGGUUCUGACGUGCAAAUCGAUCGUCGAAUUUGGGUAUAGGGGCGAAAGACUAAUCGAACCAUCUAGUAGCUGGUUCCCUC